UACGGAGGGUGCAAGCGUUAUCCGGAUUCACUGGGUUUAAAGGGUGCGUAGGCGGGUAGGUAAGUCCGUUGUGAAAUCUCUGAGCUUAACUCAGAAACUGCCGUGGAUACUAUUUGCCUUGAAUAUUGUGGAGGUGAGCGGAAUAUGUCAUGUAGCGGUGAAAUGCUUAGAUAUGACAUAGGACACCAAUUGCGAAGGCAGCUCACUACACAAUGAUUGACGCUGAGGCACGAAAGCGUGGGGAUCAAACAGG
rnacentral:rRNA from 1 species